CUUUUUUCUCUGCUUGAUGAGUGGAUUUGGUGACUAUAAUAGAAGAAAAAAAACUCAUAAAAAGAAGAAAGGAGAAUUAAUAAAAUUGAAGUACAUCAGAGAGAAGUCCUCACCAAGAGAUCUGCUUUUGGGUGCUCAUUUUGCCUACCUUUCCUCUACUCACUAACUACUUGGAAGUCUUGAAUCAUGUUCUAUAGUGUUUUUUUCUUCUAAAGGAGGAGUAGCAGUAGUGUGGUGGUCUUCAGGAAAGCAGCCCUGUGUUGCUGGUUGCACGUCUUUUUGAGUGAAUUUAUGUCUUCCAUGCUAUCAGUUAAAUGUGGAGAUGGAACAGAAUAUGCACAGAUUUUUACUGCUGAAGAUCCAAGGGAUGAGGGACAGAAAGAUGAAAGAUGAAAAUCCGAAAAGUACAGAAUUGCAUGUUACAACUAACUACUGUGGUGUGUACAAUCCUUCUCCCUAUAGUUUAGCCCUUAACAAAACCCAUGAUAUUUAAAGCAUGCAUUUAAAAAAAAAAACACCCCCCAAAAAAACCCCAAAAAACCUUCCAUGAAGAAAGACUUAAUUAGUGAGGUGUUCUCUCUGCAUACUUGUCAUGUCCUCUCCAUCUCUUGUGUGGUAUAGUUGUUUUCUCUCCAAGAGAAAAAGAUUUAAAAAAAAAUCUUUGCAUACAUAGUUGGAAACACAUUUAACAUCAAGCCUAUCUAUCCUCUUCACAUGUCCAAUGACUCCUUCUGGAUUCAACACAAAAUGUCCAUUCUUCACUGCACAGGGACAUAUACCCUAUCCUUUAAAUCCUAGUGACUUACUAUCUCUGUAAGAA